AUACUUACCUGGCAGGGGAGAUACCAUGAUCAUGAAGGUGGUUCACCCAGGGCGAGGCUCAGCCAUUGCACUCCGGCUGUGCUGACCCCUGCGAAUUCCCCAAAUGUGGGAAUCUCGACUGCAUAAUUUCUGGUAGUGGGGGACUGCGUUCGCGCUCUCCCCUG
ensembl:snRNA U1 U1 spliceosomal RNA